rnacentral:lncRNA from 1 species
UUCAACUCACAACAAAAAAAGUGGUCCUAAUCAAUUGAUAGUUCGAUACCCACCUCGCUGCUUAUCCUACACACGCCUUAGGUCCGUUCUCUCUUAUCCUACGCACUCCCUUCCCUUUCUUUUCCUAAUAAAAACAAACAAACAAAGGCCCACGAAAACAGAAAUAUUGAAAUUGAAAUUGAAUCCCAUAAUUCAUAAGUUGAAACUAAAAAGAUUUCAAGAACCCCAAGAGGAGGAAGAAAAAGAAAAAGCCAAACAUGUCAAGUGCAGCCACUUGGAGCAGAGAAGAGGAUAAAGCUUUUGAGAAUGCGAUUGCAAUGCAUUGCAUUGAGGAGGAUGACUCAAAAGAAGAACAACAACAACAAUGGCAAAAGAUUGCUUCAAUGGUUCCUUCUAGAAGUGUUGAAGAACUGAAGCAGCACUACCAAAUUUUAUUAGAGGAUGUAAAUGCAAUAGAGGCUGGUAACAUACCAUUACCUAAUUAUGUAGGAGAGGAUCGUGCAACAUCUUCAACUAAGGACUUUCAUGGCCCCUCCACGGCCGCGGAUAACAGAUCAAAUGGUGUUUAUGGAAGUGGGUUUUCAGGGUUGAGUCAUGACCCAAG